CUCCCAAAACAGCAGCUCUCUCUCUCUCUCCCCAAAAUAUUUUCUCCCUCUGCAAAUCAAGUUUUCAAAGUUAGAUCUUUCAUUUGCCAUUUAGAUUUCGACUUUGCCAUAGAAGGCAAAGUUGACGAGCUCGACGAGAGCUUCGUAUUGAUCGGAAAAUUGCUUAUGAUUCCUUUGCAUUUUGCUAUAUAUACCCAUGCCCUCUUUGUUUUAUUUCGAGACUCCUCUAGCAGCUAAUGUUCUAGACAGCUCUUUCUUGGAGUUUUUCUCUGUUUGUCUCCUCCGAUUUCUAUCUACAAUUUGCUUCAAUAUCUGAGUCAUCGGACAGCCUUUCCGGUCUCUUCUCUUUUGGUGUGACUACAUGGGGAAUUGGCAGACAGUUACUUUUGGACCAUAUGGUUCUCGUGAACCUGGUAAUCAAUGGAAUGACGGAACUUACAGCACGGUAAGGGAAGUAAUUAUAUACUCGGCCGGGUCGGAAAUUGGAUCCAUCCAAGUUGUCUAUGAUAAAAGAGGAAGGCCAGUAUCGGGAAACAAGCAUGGUUUUUGCAGCCAACAAUCAUACAGGGUGAAAUUAAACUAUCCUACCGAAUACCUCGUUUCAAUAUCAGGGUACUGUGAGAGCUAUCUUAAUACAUGUGUUGUGAAAUCUCUUACAUUACACAGCAAUAUAAAACAAUAUGGACCAUAUGGUAAGGAAGAAGGAAGUCGUUUUAUGACCCCAUUAAAUGCUGGCAAGAUUGUUGGAUUCUUUGGAAGAGUGGGUGAACGUUUGGAUUCAAUUGGAGUAUACAUUAAGCCAUUCAAAACUACAAUACCAUGUUUUGGUCUAUUUGGAACUACUAGUGAACAACAGUGGGAUGUCGGAACUAACCAUGCAUUUGGAACUACUGGUGGACAGCACCACGAUGACGGAACUACUCAUUCAUUUGAAACUACUGGUGGACAACAGUGUGAUGAUGGAGCAGACAAUGCAUUGGGAACUACUGGUGGACUACAAUGGGAUGAUGGAACUUCCGGCAUGGACACCAUUGCGAAUGGUCAGACAGUUACUUUUGGGCCAUAUGGUUCUUCAGAACCUGGUAAUCAGUGGAAUGACGGAAUCUAUAGCACGGUAAGAGAAAUAAUUAUAUACUCAGCCGGACUGGAAAUUGAAUCCAUCCAAGUUGUCUAUGAUAAUGGAGGAAAGGCGGUGUGGGGAAACAAACAUGGUUUUUGCACUCGACAACCAAACAGGGUGAAAUUGAACUAUCCUACCGAGUACCUCGUUUCAAUAUCAGGGUAUUGUGGGUACUAUCUUAGUACAUAUCUUGUUGUGAAAUCACUUACAUUACACAGCAAUAUUAAGCAAUAUGGACCGUAUGGUAAGGAAGAAGGAAGUCAUUUUAUGACCCCAUUAACUGUGGGCAAGAUUGUUGGAUUCUUUGGAAGGGUGGGUGAACGUUUGGAUUCAAUUGGAGUAUACAUUAAGCCAUUCCAAACUAUAACACCUUGUGUUGGUCUAUUUGGAACCACUGGUGUCGGAACUAACGAUGCAUUUGGAACUAUUGGUGGACAGCACCACGAUGACGGAACUAACCAUUCAUUUGAAACUACUGGUGGACAACAGUGUGAUGACGGAACUGACAAUGCAUUGGAAACUACUGGUGGACACCAGUGUGAUGAUGGAACUUCCGGCAUGGACACCAUGGCGAAUGGUCAGACAGUUACUUUUGGGCCAUAUGGUUCUUUAGAACCUGGUAAUCAGUGGAAUGACGGAAUCUAUAGCACGGUAAGGGAAAUAAUUAUAUACUCAGCCGGACUGGAAAUUGAAUCCAUCCAAGUUGUCUAUGAUAAUAGAGGAAAGGCGGUGUGGGGAAACAAACAUGGUUUUUGCGCCCGACAACCAAACAGGGUGAAAUUGAACUAUCCUACUGAGUACCUCGUUUCAAUAUCAGGGCCAAUUUCACUGGAUUCAAUGGAUGGUGUCACGAGUGCUAACUAGGAGCAAAGACUUUUCCUCCUCUGGUCCAGCAAAAGAACUUCACACGGGGGUAAUCUUUUUGAAGGUCAGACAAAGGAUUGGGUGUAUGAAUGGCCGGUUUCCUCUCCACCGUCCUCUCCAUUAUUAGCUUUCGCUAGUGUUAAGACUACUCCAUCUGCGUGGCAUCAUAGAUUAGGCCAUCCUGCAUUUCCUCUUUUAAAGCACAUUGUUUCUCAUUAUCAGUUAGAUUUGUCCUCCUCUAUGUCAUCUGAUUUCUUAUGUAAUGCUUGUCACUGUAAUAAAAGUCAUAAAUUACUUUUUUUUCUACCUCUUCUCUUAUCUCUUCUCAACCACUUGAAAUCUCUGAUGUAUGGACCUCUUCAACUAUUUCACAUGGCGGCUUUAAAUAUUAUGUCAUCUUUGUUAAUCACUUCACUAAAUAUAUUUGGUUUUAUCCUCUCAAACAAAAAUUUGAAGUUAAAGAUGUUUUUAUAAGAAUUAAAGCCAUUGUGGAAAAACACUUCAAAAAUAAAAUUCAUACAGUUUAUUCAGAUAAUGGUGGUGAAUACUUGGUUCUUGCUACUCAUGGCAUUUCUCAUCUUACUACUCAGCCUCAUACACCUGAACACAAUGGGUAUUUUGAAAGACGACAUUGUCAUAUUGUCGAAACAAGUCUUACUCUACUCUCUCCCAUGCCUCACUUCCUUUAAUUUUUUGGUCUCAUGCUUUUGCUGCUGCUGUUUACUUAAUUAAUCGAAUGCCCACUCCCACACUUAAUCUUUCUUCUCCCUAUGAAACAAUUUUUGGUUUCGCCCUAAACUAUUCCAAACUUCGAAUUUUUGGUUGUUUAUGCUACCCUUGGCUUCGUCCUUAUUCUACUCACAAACUUGACUCUCGGUCCAAACAAUGUAUCUUUCUUGGGUACUCUCUUACUCAAAGUGCCUAUUUAUGCUUUCAUCCUUCUACAGUAAGAAUGUUUGUUUUUCGUCAUGUUAAAUUUGUUAAGUUGGUACUUCCUUUUCUCACUAUUUCCACUCCAUCUCCCCGACCACAACCUAAUACUAUCUCCACUUGGAUUCCUCUUGUAAUAAAAAAUCCGACAUGUCCAGUUUCUUUAGUGCCAUUCUCCACACCAUUUGAAGUUCAACCUCAAUUACAACCCUUGUGUGAUGCUCUGUUGGUCUCUACCACCACCACAUCGGCUCCUCCCGCUUGACCCCAAUUGCUGCAAGAGUCUCACACCCAAUUAACCCCCUCUGCACCUUCAGCCGAACCCCAACCAAACUCAAUACACACUGCCUAUACCAAUUCCUCACUCCCAGCACCUAUACACACUUUGGCCACUAGGGCCAAAAACAACAUCCGAAAGCCAAUCCAGAAACUUAACCUCUCCACUCAACUCUCCCAAGCUUGUGAUGUAGAACCAAACACUGCGACCCAAGCCCUCAAAGAUCCGAAAUGGCGUAGGGCCAUGUCUGAAGAAUAUGAUGCUCUCAGUCGAAAUAGGACAUGGGAGCUUGUACCUUCUAUUUCUAGCCACAAUAUCGUUGGUUGUAAGGGGAUAAGGGCCAUGUCUGAAGAAUAUGAUGCUCUCAGUCGAAAUAGGACAUGGGAGCUUGUACCUUCUAUUUCUAGCCACAAUAUCGUUGGUUGUAAGGGGAUAUUUCACACUAAACGUAAUUUUGAUGGUUCUAUUGACGGGCACAAAGUAUGCUUGGUUGCAAAAGGCUUUCAUGAACACCUGGGAGUUGACUAUCAUGAUACAUUUAGUCCUGUGGUUAAGCCUACUACGGUUUGUCUUGUUCUUAGCAUUACUAUUAGUCGUGGGUGGUCUCUACCACAACUUGAUGUAAACAAUGCGUUUUUGCAAAGCCAUCUCUCUGAGGAUGUAUAUAUGUCCCAACCUUCAGGUUUUGUUGAUUCUGACUAUCCAACUUAUGUUUGCAAGCUUUGAAAAGCUAUUUAUGGGCUUAAGCAAGCUCCACGAGCAUGGUACCAUGAGCUUCGCAAAUUUCUCAUUGCUUCGGGAUUUCAAAAUUCUCAUGCUGACACUUCUCUUUUUGUUUUCAAAACUGGAGGUCAUCUUAUGUUCUUCUUGUUUACGUUGACGACAUUAUUAUUACCGGUGAUAAUGAUGAUUUGGUUCGUCGGUUUGUGCAUAUGCUUUCUCACCAAUUUUCUUUUAAGGAUCUUGGACAACUAUCUUAUUUUCUUUGUGUGGAGGUUAUUCCAAAUGCCAGAGGUAUCUUGCUAUCCCAACGGCGAUAUAUUAUGGAUCUUCUUGCUCGAACAAAAAUGAUGGAUGCUACCCCGGUACUCACUCCUCUACCUACAAGUCCCCCUCUUACAUUGCAUUCGGGUUCUACUCUCUUGGAUCCUAUAGAGUAUAGAACCAUUGUUGGGAGUUUACAGUAUCUAUUAAUCACAUGGCCGGAUAUAGCUUUCGCGGUCAAUAAGCUCUCUCAGUUCAUGCAUCGGCCAACUACCGACCAUUGGGUUUUUGUAAAAUGCCUCUUACAUUAUCUUUGUGGUUCAACUAAUGUAGGCAUUGAGUUUUACCGUGAUUCCCGUCUAUCAUUGCAUGCCUUUUCCGAUGCUGAUCGGGCUGGUAACAAGGAUGAUUUUUCUUCUACAAGUGCAUAUUUGUUUAUCUUGGCCACAAUCCAAUAUCUUGGAGUUCGAAGAAGCAACGCAUGGUUGCUAGAUCCUCCACCGAGGCUGAAUAUAGGUCCGUUGCUGCUACUGCUGCUGAACUCAGCUGGACCAACCUGCAGAUGCACUUACCAAACCACUCCUAGGUCUUGGUUCCUGUCUCUAAAAAACAAGAUUGGCCUCUUUGACCGAGCUCCAUCUUGAGGGGGCAUGAUAGAUAAGAUCGUAUAUUCUGUUGUAUUUUGAAUUGUAUCUACUUUAACUUAGUCUUUUGGUUUUCCAGCUCUGUCGUAUUUGAAGGAGUCAGUUUAGGAGGUUUGGUUCAUGAGUUGAACCUCUUGUUAUACUCUGCUAUAUAUAUUCUGUAAUGGAAUGUCAAGCCUGUGUGGCCAAAUUCCUUCUCCUCUGUUCAACACUAUUUAGCCUUUACCUUAAAUGUUGGUGAAAAUGGUUAAAGGCAACACAAACAUGUGUCUCUGCGUGUGAUUUUAAGUAAUUUUCAUAUUUUCGUAUUUGCUAAGCCUGAAAGUUUGGGUUGGUUAUUGUUUCUUGUGAAACUACGUCAAUUCAAUGAUAAGAUGUGGUAUGUUAUCUC